rnacentral:rRNA from 1 species
AACGCUAGCUACAGGCUUAACACAUGCAAGUCGAGGGGCAGCAUGGUCUUAGCUUGCUAAGGCUGAUGGCGACCGGCGCACGGGUGAGUAACACGUAUCCAACCUGCCGUCUACUCUUGGCCAGCCUUCUGAAAGGAAGAUUAAUCCAGGAUGGGAUCAUGAGUUCACAUGUCCGCAUGAUUAAAGGUAUUUUCCGGUAGACGAUGGGGAUGCGUUCCAUUAGAUAGUAGGCGGGGUAACGGCCCACCUAGUCAACGAUGGGUAGGGGUUCUGAGAGGAAGGUCCCCCACAUUGGAACUGAGACACGGUCCAAACUCCUACGGGAGGCAGCAGUGAGGAAUAUUGGUCAAUGGGCGAUGGCCUGAACCAGCCAAGUAGCGUGAAGGAUGACUGCCCUAUGGGUUGUAAACUUCUUUUAUAAAGGAAUAAAGUCGGGUAUGCAUACCCGUUUGCAUGUACUUUAUGAAUAAGGAUCGGCUAACUCCGUGCCAGCAGCCGCGGUAAUACGGAGGAUCCGAGCGUUAUCCGGAUUUAUUGGGUUUAAAGGGAGCGUAGAUGGAUGUUUAAGUCAGUUGUGAAAGUUUGCGGCUCAACCGUAAAAUUGCAGUUGAUACUGGAUGUCUUGAGUGCAGUUGAGGCAGGCGGAAUUCGUGGUGUAGCGGUGAAAUGCUUAGAUAUCACGAAGAACUCCGAUUG